rnacentral:lncRNA from 1 species
UACACGACUUUUCUAAAUUUUGAGUUUAUUAUCCAACAUUUCAAUUUAUUUGAUUUGUGUCAGGCAACUGCACUUCGACUUCAAAAUUUAAACUGCCUGGUUAUUUAAUGAACUCAUAGUUGCGAGAAUUGUAUGAAACAUACUAACUAAACCUAUAAAAAUAAACGACGCAUUCAAAAUUUGAAGUCGUGUUGUUGAUUGAUUCAAAUUAAAAGAAUGGCAGUAGAAUCAUAAUUUUGAAAGAUUUAGUAGCCAAAUCAAAAUAGUUCAUAGUUCAGGUAAGUGUUUAUUAAUUUUUUUCCUUUUACGUACGUUGUGUAACUACCUCUUACUUGACAAAGUUUAAGCUGUAAGAUGAUGAUGAUGAUAUAGUAUUUUAUAUUCAACAAUGUAAAAUUUCAGAUAAUUUUGCAGAGGAAUAUACUUAUGCAUAUAUAUAGAAUAUGACUUGUGUGCUAUUAGGAACACGGAAGCCUCCAUGCUCUUACACCAUUUUCGAUGAUUAAACUUUCGAAUCGACGAUCAACUUCAUUAGACUUAAUCUAGCAUAUUUAAAGUAUAUAGAAAAUAAUUUUUGCGGUUUUUCGAUAUUAUUUACCUAGCGAUCGGAUGAGUUCAAAAUCAAUAACUUUUAAUGCUUAAUGUGUGCCGUUUGCAAAUUUAACAGCGUAAAAGCAUUCAAAUGAGAUGAAAUUUUGAUUGAAAAUUUUUUAUAGUACUAUAUAUCUAGUACAAGAAUAUUACAAUUUCUGAUCAAAAAUUUUGGUACUACUUUUUAUAAGAUUUUUAUUUUCAACUGUUGAUCAUUUUGAGUACGUAUUUUCGAUCACUAAGUACCUGAUAUCGAAAAACUACAAAAUUUAUUUUUCUAGAUCCUUCAAAUACGCUAGACCAAGUUUAACGAAGUCGUGGAUUCAGAAAUUACAUUAUCUAAAACAACUUAAGAAUACGAAAGCUUCCAUACUCUUAAUAGUACACAAGUCCUACUCUAUAUAUAUCACAGUCAGAAUUGCAUCAGAGGAAAAGG